rnacentral:rRNA from 1 species
CGCAUCUGUGCAUGCAGCAUAUCAAUAAGCGGAGGAAAAGAAACUAACAAGGAUUCCCUUAGUAACGGCGAGUGAAGCGGGAAGAGCUCAAAUUUGAAAUCUUCAAGGUUUUACCUUGACGAAUUGUAGUUUAAAGAAGUGUUUUCUGUUGAAGUUUUGGUAAAAGUUCUUUGGAAUAGGACAUCAUAGAGGGUGAGAAUCCCGUAUUUGACCAUUAUUUUCAGCUGUGUGAUACACUUUCAAAGAGUCGGAUUGUUUGGGAAUGCAGUCCAAAAUGGGUGGUAAAUUUCAUCUAAAGCUAAAUAUUGGCGAGAGACCGAUAGCGAACAAGUACCGUGAGGGAAAGAUGAAAAGAACUUUGAAAAGAGAGUUAAACAGUACGUGAAAUUGUCAAAAGGGAAGCGUUUGACACCAGUGUUGUUUUCUCGAAAAUCAAUUAAAAAGAGUUUGAUUUUGUUGUGUAUUGACCUUAACAGCUUGCAUUUCAAUUUUCUUGCUUUUUUUAAUGCACUUUUCGUUUAACAAGUCAACAUCAGUUUCUUUUGUUGUGAAAAGGUCAUUGGAAGGUGGCUUUCUUUUCGGAGAAAGUGUUUAUAGCCUUUGACUCCUGCAAUCGGAGAGACUGAGGUCUGCAGCGUAGAUCCUUCGGGGUUAGAUACAUUUGUGCUAAGUUAUAGCUUUUUAUAGACAACUUGUUGACUAUGAUUAGUCUUGUAGCUUACUCGCUUAUGCUAUUUUACCUACGCUUAGGAUGUUGAUGUAAUACUGCGAGCA